AAAUAUGGUUUGAUACAUAGACUCAUCGUCAAUUCCUUUUUUAAAGAAUUUAAUUUGCUCCUUUUUAGCAAAAGAAACAAAAAUAAUCAAUUCAUUUGUUAAGGAAAAAAAAAAAAAACUAAACCUAGCAAAAUCCCCGAUUUUUACCUGUACAGAGAAGAACGUUAUUUAAUUUUGAAUCUGGUGAAGCAGGCUGUUUAUUCCAAAUCUGUGGUGCCUGCAUCAACUCCUGCUCCUCCAGAGUUCAAGUCACCGGCCCCCGCCCCACCAGUGGUCACUCCUUCCACACCGUUGUACAAGCCACCAACUCCCGCGCCACCAGUUAAGACACCACCGCCAGUCAACCCCCCCACACCUGUGCCUCCUGUGAAGCCACCCACUACUCCCGCCCCACCGUCUACAAGCCACCACCUCCAGCACCAUCAGUCAACCCCCCCACACCUGUGCCUCCGUGAAGCCACCCACUACUCCCGCCCCACCGAUCUACAAGCCACCAUCUCCAGCACCGCCAGUCAAUCCCCCCACACCUGUGCCUCCUGUGAAGCCACCCACUACUCCUGCCCCACCGGUCUACAAGCCACCAUCCCCAGCACCCACACCCGUGCCUCCAGUGAAGCCACCCACUACUGGACCAAUGCCUCCGCCAGUUAGGACAAGAUCGGGUAACAUAUCCAUCACUUACAGAAGUUAACAUGAACUUAACAUGGCCCUCUUUCCUUGUUUUAGCUAUACAGAUAAGAUCAUAGAUUAACAAGUUUGGUGGCUUUAUUGGCAGAUU
rnacentral:lncRNA from 1 species